GACAGAGGUGCCGAGCGUUAGGCGGAAUCACUGGGCUUAAAGCGUGUGUAGGCGGGUCCGUAAGUACCUUGUGAAAUCCCACGGCUCAACCGUGGAACUGCUGGGUAUACUGCCUGUCUUGAGCCAGCCAGGGGCAGUCGGAACAGACGGUGGAGCGGUGAAAUGCGUAGAUAUCGUCUGGAACGCCAAAGGUGAAAACAGACUGCUGGGGCUGUGCUGACGCUGAGACACGAAAGCCAGGGGAGCGAACGGG
rnacentral:rRNA from 1 species